rnacentral:rRNA from 1 species
CAGUCGCCGCGGUAAUACGUAGGUGGCAAGCGUUGUCCGGAAUUAUUGGGCGUAAAGGGCUCGCAGGCGGUUUCUUAAGUCUGAUGUGAAAGCCCCCGGCUCAACCGGGGAGGGUCAUUGGAAACUGGGAAACUUGAGUGCAGAAGAGGAGAGUGGAAUUCCACGUGUAGCGGUGAAAUGCGUAGAGAUGUGGAGGAACACCAGUGGCGAAGGCGGCUCUCUGGACUGUAACUGACGCUGAGGCGCGAAAGCGUGGGGAGCAAACAGGAUUAGAUACCCGAGUAGUCCCUGUCUCUUAUAC